UCCGUCUUGACAACGGCAGUCUCGCUAAAGUUCCCGCCAUUACGCGCUGGCAACUAACGAUAGGGGUUUCGCUCGUUACGGGACUUAACCCAACAUCUCACGACACGAGCUGACGACAGCCAUGCAACACCGGUGCACGUUUCACCCGAAGGCAGUCCACUGCUUUCACAGCUUUCAUCCGUACAUUCCGGCCCAGGUAAGGUUCUUCGCGUUGCAUCGAAUUAAACAACAUGCUCCACCGCUUGUGUGAGCCCCCGUCAAUUCCUUUGAGUUUUAGCCUUGCGACCGUACUCCCCAGGCGGGGCACUUAUCGCAUUUGCUGGGCCAGAGAAGACCGAAGCCUCCCCUAGCUAGUGCCCAUCGUUUAGGGCUAGGACUAC
rnacentral:misc_RNA from 1 species